rnacentral:rRNA from 1 species
AACGAACGCUGGCGGCAUGCCUAACACAUGCAAGUCGAACGAUUGCCUUCGGGUGAUAGUGGCGCACGGGUGCGUAACGCGUGGGAAUCUGCCCUUAGGUUCGGAAUAACAGCUGGAAACGGCUGCUAAUACCGGAUGAUAUCGCGAGAUCAAAGAUUUAUCGCCUGAGGAUGAGCCCGCGUUGGAUUAGGUAGUUGGUGGGGUAAAGGCCUACCAAGCCGACGAUCCAUAGCUGGUCUGAGAGGAUGAUCAGCCACACUGGGACUGAGACACGGCCCAGACUACUACGGGAGGCAGCAGUGGGGAAUAUUGGAAAAUGGGCGCAAGCCUGAUCCAGCAAUGCCGCGUGAGUGAUGAAGGCCCUAGGGUUGUAAAGCUCUUUUACCCGGGAAGAUAAUGACGGUACCGGGAGAAUAAGCCCCGGCUAACUCCGUG